GAUGAAGAACGUAGCGAAAUGCGAUAAGUAAUGUGAAUUGCAGAAUUCAGUGAAUCAUCGAAUCUUUGAACGCACAUUGCGCCCGCCAGUAUUCUGGCGGGCAUGCCUGCCCGAGCGUCAUUUCAACCCUCAAGCCCCCGGGCUUGGUGUUGGAGAUCGGCGAGCCCCCCGGGGCGCGCCGUCUCCCAAAUAUAGUGGCGGUCCCGCUGUAGCUUCCUCUGCGUAGUAGCACACCUCGCACUGGGAAACAGCGUGGCCACGCCGUAAAACCCCCCACUUCUGAAAGGUUGACCUCGGAUCAGGUAGGAAUACCCGCUGAACUUAAGCAUAUCAAUAAGCGGAGGA
rnacentral:misc_RNA from 1 species